rnacentral:rRNA from 1 species
CCUACGGGAGGCUGCAGUGGGGAAUAUUGGACAAUGGGGGCAACCCUGAUCCAGCCAUGCCGCGUGUGUGAAGAAGGCCCUCGGGUUGUAAAGCACUUUCAGUGAGGAAGAACGCCUGGUGGUUAAUACCCAUCAGGAAAGACAUCACUCACAGAAGAAGCACCGGCUAACUCCGUGCCAGCAGCCGCGGUAAUACGGAGGGUGCGAGCGUUAAUCGGAAUUACUGGGCGUAAAGCGCGCGUAGGUGGCUUGAUAAGCCGGUUGUGAAAGCCCCGGGCUCAACCUGGGAACGGCAUCCGGAACUGUCAAGCUAGAGUGCAGGAGAGGAAGGUAGAAUUCCCGGUGUAGCGGUGAAAUGCGUAGAGAUCGGGAGGAAUACCAGUGGUGAAGGCGGCCUUCUGGACUGACACUGACACUGAGGUGCGAAAGCGUGGGUAGCAAACAGGAUUAGAUACCCUUGUAGUC